rnacentral:rRNA from 1 species
UUCGCAAUGCCCGAAAGGGUGACGAAGCGACGCCGCGUGUGGGAAGAAGGCCUUCGGGUUGUAAACCACUGUCGGGAGUUAAGAAAUGCAAGGAUGUUAAUAGCGUUCUUGCUUGACUAAGGCUCCGGAGGAAGCCACGGCUAACUCUGUGCCAGCAGCCGCGGUAAUACAGAGGCGGCAAGCGUUGUUCGGAAUUAUUGGGCGUAAAGAGCACGUAGGCGGCUGUGUAAGUCGGUUGUGAAAGCCUUCCGCUUAACGGAAGAACGGCAUCCGAUACUACAUGGCUUGAGUGCGGGAGGGGAGAGUGGAACUUCUGGUGGAGCGGUGAAAUGCGUAGAUAUCAGAAGGAACGCCGGCGGCGAAAGCGGCUCUCUGGCCCAUAACUGACGCUGAGUGUGCGAAAGCUAGGGGAGCAAACGGGAUUAGAUACCCCGGUAGUCCUAGCCGUAAACGAUGGGCACUAAGUAGAGGGGUUUU